UACGGAGGGGGCUAGCGUUGUUCGGAAUUACUGGGCGUAAAGCGCACGUAGGCGGCUUUGUAAGUUAGAGGUGAAAGCCCGGGGCUCAACUCCGGAAUUGCCUUUAAGACUGCAUCGCUAGAAUUGUGGAGAGGUAAGUGGAAUUCCGAGUGUAGAGGUGAAAUUCGUAGAUAUUCGGAAGAAACACCAGUGGCGAAGGCGACUUACUGGACACAUAUUGACGCUGAGGUGCGAAAGCGUGGGGAGCAAACAGGG
rnacentral:rRNA from 1 species